GACGAACGCUGGCGGCGUGCUUAACACAUGCAAGUCGAACGGAAAGGCCCCUUUGGGGGUACUCGAGUGGCGAACGGGUGAGUAACACGUGAGUAACCUGCCCUUGACUUCGGGAUAACUUCAGGAAACCGGGGCUAAUACCGGAUAGGAAUCCUUGCUGCAUGGUGGGGGUUGGAAAGCUUCGGCGGUUUUGGAUGGACUCGCGGCUUAUCAGCUUGUUGGUGGGGUAGUGGCUUACCAAGGCUUUGACGGGUAGCCGGCCUGAGAGGGCGACCGGCCACAUUGGGACUGAGAUACGGCCCAGACUCCUACGGGAGGCAGCAGUGGGGAAUAUUGCACAAUGGGCGGAAGCCUGAUGCAGCAACGCCGCGUGCGGGAUGACGGCCUUCGGGUUGUAAACCGCUUUCAGCAGGGGCGAAGCUUGUGGUGACGGUACCUGCAGAAGAAGCACCGGCUAACUACGUG
rnacentral:rRNA from 1 species